AGGAUGCAUGAACAAUCUCAAUAUUUUGAUUUCUCUACGGACUUUCUCCUCCAUGUCCAUAUUCCUGAUUUUUCGACGAUUAAGAAUCUUGACAGCAACUUUGUGCCCUGUUAACGUAUGUUCAGCUAUUUUAACUUUGCCGAACGAUCCAAUGCCAAGUGUUUUCCCGAGUUUAUAGUUCCGUAAAAAUGAGUCAACACUGCUGGUGCCCUGCACUGCUGUUCCGUCCAUUUUCCUGGCAGAAGCUAAACCCCAAGAAGCAGAUUGAAGAAAUUCAACAACAAAAUAUGAAAAUUGGGAAAAUCAAGCGAUUAUCUUCAACAUUUGGUGAUGAAAGAGAGUAUCAAUGGCCUCCUGGAAUACAGGGGGAAGAAGUUGAGGCCAGUCGUGGGGUGGAGGAGAUUCGGGGGGUGGGGGUAAGGAUGGCUGCAGAAGCACAAGAAUGGAGUUCACUGAUUUUUGAUUCUG
rnacentral:misc_RNA from 1 species